rnacentral:lncRNA from 1 species
UAUUCUUGCCCUUUCCUUGGAUAUCAAGGCUUUAAUUCCAUAAUAAAGAUAAGGAGGUGGGUUGCAGUUACAUUUCUGUUCCCUUUUUACAGUAGCCGCCUUCUCUUUCAGGGUUUAGGAUCUCUGCAGUUGCUCCUGUUAGCACAUCCAAGAUUCUGUGAAUCAUCUAACCAUGAGUUACCAAAGAGGCAGACCAUUGGCCAUUGUGCCCAGUGCAGGGAGGAGCCUGGACUGAAGUUUGUAUCUGAAUGUGGAGACAGGAACUUAGUUAAAGAGAAACAUACAGUACAUUAUGAAGAGUCACCUUAAGGUAUCUCCUAUAUAGUUACUACAUGGUAUGAAAAAAGAAUUGUGGUAAACAGACACAUUGUGGUUUGUGGGUGCAGAAGUGUGGUUGUAGAGAAAAGCCAUCUGAUUUCCAAGCCACAAAGUUGGACCUCAAUCAGAAAGGAGAGAACACUCUUCUCACAUUCAUCUCUAGGUUGAUAGCUGGUGAGAAAGGAUUUUUUGCCAGAGAACAGACAACUUCUCAGACCGUGCUGUGACUUUUCCUGCCUGGUGGAAAUUUAUAUCUCCGUCAGCAGAAUAGCAGGCUUGGAUGGAAGAUUCCAGUCUGGAGUGUGCUGUGGUGUGGCUGCACUCCUAUUGCAUUCCACGCACCUGAAGAGUCAAGGCGUGACAUGGCAAACACCAAUGCUUGAGUGGUUUCCUUGACCAGAUUUGAUUCCAGGUCCUGCCACUUAUUUUCAGGGUGCACUUUGUCAAGUGUUUGUCAUUCCAACCCCCCCAUUUCCUCAUUUGUAAAAUCAAUAUCAGUACCAGUUUGUGAGAAUGAUUAUUGGGGUUCAAUGGUUUGCCAUGGGGGAAGUGACUAGCACCUUACCUGCCAAGUAGUUAACAUCCGCUAAGUGUCAUUUACCCACAAGUAGUCUGUGGAUCCAGUCUCAGAAAGGGUCCUGUUUAUUAAGGCAAGGCAUCACUGCAGUUCGGCAUCAUGGGCUCCAAGAGAAUAGGAAGCAGUUAGAAAAUAUGAUCUCCCCUGCUCUUCUCUCUGCCAACUCAUUUUUGUGAGUUCACUACCAGAGCCUUGGGGAU